GCUGAGUGGGGAACUCUUGCUUACUGUGUUACGGGAUCCUCCCACUCGGCGGACGUGGGCCCUUCCUGGAGUUUAUGUCUAGUUGUAGCUUUCCUAACCGUGCUCCUUGGAUCACAAGGACCCCAGUCUCCGCUCCUCUACGCAGCCGAGCGACCCCAUUUCAUGUUAAAUACACCAAGCAAUAGCCCUAAGGACCAGCAUGCUCUAAUCAGAACCGCCUGUCUCCGUUGGAUUUGGUUCAAGAAGAGAAAGAUGCCUGCCAGGACUGAAGACACUCUGGGGUAUCAUGAAGCCAAAGGUGGGAAUGAGUCUCCUAGAGUCGAGAUCUCUUCCUCCACAGGGCUGAGGCGCUGCCACUCCACAACAGGGCACGUGUCCUCCAGAUGGCAGAGGGUGCUGCUUCCUUGUUAACAUUAAAUAAGAAUGGAGACCAAUCCAUCCUGGCCAUUGCCAUCUCUCUGCCAUCACUGGCUCCUGCCCCCACAGCUGAUAACACCUCCAGUUGCCACCUCUGACUUUCAGUCUACCCACAGCCCCAUCUCGACAUUCAAGAGUAUGGAAGAGGAAAUAAGAUAGAAAGGUCUUAGUUUAUCUUUAAAAUAAUGACUCAUUUUAUUUUCUUUUAAUAUGUAGUUAUAAAUAUAUUUGUCAAAAUAUAUGAUCAAUAUGGUCAAAA